rnacentral:ncRNA from 1 species
CGGCGGGGACGACCCCGCCCAAGUGCCGUCUGAUCAAUCGGGACGACCCGG